UUAUGCUAAUACCGUUUAUCGCCAUAUUUCUAAUUGUUGUUACAAGUUUGUUUAUUUGUCGUCAAAGACGGAUUCGGAAAAGACGUAGCAAUCAUGACAACAAGCAGUUAGUCUUAUCAAGAAUCCCAGAUGAAAAUAUACAAAUAAAUUAUGUUGGCGACCCAGUGCAAUCAACUGCAGAAAAUCAUCUUGGAAUUCAAAGUUAUUCCACUCCCAAUGCUGCGGAUACGGAUACGCAGAGAAGUGGCGAAGAAUCUGCAAAUGAGUGCC